CGAAGAGCAAUGAUCCUAAGACUAACUCAUAAGUGACACCACUCGUGAUCAGCCUCCACCUGUACAUAGAGGAACUGACCACAGCCCUCUCACGGUGACCAACCAACCAGUUAUUUAUCUACUGAAUAAUGCACCCUUCAAAUCCAUCUCUCUGUAAGUGAACAGACAUGAAGGAAAAGCUACCUGAUACCCACCAACAGCAUCUGACUCCUCAAACCAAAGAAGUAUGAAGACAAAGGUGCAAAACACUGACAAGAAGGUCCCACCACAGCCUGUUUGUCAGGCACAGCGCUGGCACAGAUUGCAGAAGAAAGUCUGAUGCCAUGAAGGAAGAGGAUGGAUCGCUCCCAGGCCAUACACUCCUGUUGCAUUGUGCAUUGUGGCAAGAAAGUUCAUGAAGAUCAUUCAUUUUAAAUAAAUAUUGGCAGAUGGUCAAAGAAAUCCAAUUCUGUACUUGUUCACAUGAGAAUUUGUACCAUAUGCUUUGAAUAUAGGAAUAGCACUUAUUUUGUCCAGGAAAAAGGUUGUAUAAUCACUGAGUCACUGAGUGAG
ensembl:lncRNA